CCUACGGGUGACAGCAGUGAGGAAUAUUGGUCAAUGGCCGGGAGGCUGAACCAGCCAAGUCGCGUGAGGGAAGACGGCCCUACGGGUUGUACACCUCUUUUGUCAGGGAGCAAGGUGCAAGUCGGGACCUGCUGUGAGAGUACCUGAAGAAACAGCCUCGGCUAGCUCCGUGCCAGCCGCCGCGGUAAUACGGAGGAUGCGAGCGUUAUCCGGAUUUAUUGGGUUUAAAGGGUGAGCAGUCGGAGGCACAAGUCAGAGGUAAAAUCGCGGGGCUCAACCCCGCUGCGCCGUUGAAACUGUGUCCCUUGAGUGCGCGAAGGGCAGGCGGAAUGCGGGGUGUAGCGGUGAAAGGCAUAGAGAUCACGCAGAACGCCGAGCGCGAAGGCAGCCUACCGGCGCGCAACUGACGCUCAUGCACGAAAGCGUGGGUAUCGAACAGGAUUAGAUACCCGAGUAGUC
rnacentral:rRNA from 1 species